CCGAUAAUAGUCUAUAUUUAGUAUUUUACCUAAUGUGAGGAAGUCAUUGGAAAUACCAACUCCGAAAUCAAUAAGUCAUUGAAGUGUACACAAUACUAAAUAAUAUAGACAUAUUAGAUAAGAACAUGCUAUUCACGUUGGCACAAACAAACACCAGAGGACAUUAAAAAAAACAAUAUGAAAAACAGAGCAGAACAACAGUCACACAGGAAAUUUUAAGUCAACGAGUGGUGGAUUUGUGGAAUUUACUUCCCAGUUCAGAAGUAGAAGCCCCCACUCUAAAUGUUUUUAAAAAUCGUCUAAAUAGACACUGGCACAAAGUACCUUUUAAGUUGUAUCCAAGUUUUUAUGAUGCGCAACCGGAUAACAAUGAGUUAUUCCUACAAGAUGUGUCAGAAUUAGCUGAUAUCAGCUAACCAGUGGCUUCGAAGAAGAGGUAUCAGGUAUCAGCAUGGAUGACCACAACAGAGCCAGGAGACAGAUCAAAUUGAAAGCAACAUUAAAAGAAGUCCAUCUCGGAGGCAUUAAUCCAACAUCAAGUUUUGAGGAGAUGAAGCAGGAGGUCCAGUCCUGGUUUCCUCUCCUAAGUGAUCAGGAAGUUAAUUUGGAUUUGGUCUACAAGGAUGAGGAUGGAGAUGAUAUUACCAUAGAAACAGAAGAAGAAUGGAAGGUUUUCUGUGGAAAUUCUACAGGGAAUUUGCUCAAACUGAGCAUACGAGCCAAACCUGUCAUUAGACGCAAGCCAUCAUUCAGUGAAUCCACAAAGAGUGGUUGCAGUACAGUGUCGAUACUAAGAAAUAUUAACAGUGUUGAUAACAGUCAGACAAGCAGGACUGAAACUAGGAACCGUAACUCUAGCACCUUAGAAGUCGAAACCGCCGCACCAAGCGUCUAGUAGCUUUGUCACCCAGGCAAGUGACGACGAUAUUUCCCAGCGAAACAGAAACCAGACAGAUUUCUCUCCUCCAGCGACGAGUCCCACACUAGAUGAAGGACCGCUGAACUUUUCAUUCUCUAAGGCACAAAUCCACUCAAGUGACGAAGAGGAUGAUGUUUUUUGGCCCCCUUCAUCAGGAGACACUUUGGACAAAGUCAAGAUCACAAGACCCCCCAAUAUAGAAACUGUGGACAGCAGGGCUCGGAAUAUGACUCAUUUUUAUCCGAGUGACAAGAAAGGCAGAGUACUUAUCUUUAACCAAAAGAAGUUCACGUCAGAACCAGACAUCCUGGGAGACUUUCGAUACUACCUGUCUGUGUUUGUUAUUUCGCGCCCUGAAAUACGAUGUUAAAUCAUACACAGAUCAAUCUGUUCAGCAAAUACGAGAAAAGUUGGAUAAAGAAAAAGAACUUUUGGCCAAAACAGAGUACGGUUGUUACAUAGUUAUCAUUCUGACCCACUAUGACCCAAAAACAAAGACCCUGUCUGGGAGUAGAGGUGACACAAUUUCACUGGAUGAAAUAACAGAUCGUCUUAAGGAAGAGGAGACACUGAAGGGGGUCCCCAAGCUCGUGUUUCUCGAUGGUGCGAGACAUGAUUUCCCCGGAAGUCUGCUGAAAUUUGGUGGUGCUCAAUCGAGAAUGACAUUAAAGAUGCCUGUUGCUACCGGAGCAGACUUACCUUGGAGUGGCCAAGGAGUGGACAGUACCGACUCAUGUCCGUCAAACAAGAUGGACGACUUUUAUAUAUACAUUGCAGGAACAUUGGGUGAAGGAAAUCCAAUUUACAAGGGAUCACUGAUGAUACAGGCCUUGGUGAAAGUUUUCUGUGCCAACUUAUACAAAGACAGUCUCUGUGAAAUGAUGAUGAAGGUUGAACAGCUGUUGGGAGAGGCUCGAACGAGAA